GUAGAAAUUCAAGAGUCAGGAGCAUAAGACGAGUCCACAGAGUGUCCCACUCAUUCCUGCAAUUGCCUCUCUUUAUGCUCUAGUCCCUACUGUGGUAUCAACUUUUUUUCCUCAAGCAGAUACAGCUGAGCCUAAGUGAGUCACUUCACAGAUAAGGCUGCCUUUUGGAAGCCAGCCAUGGUCAGAGAGAAGGUCACAGCAAGACAGAACACAGAGACUCAGCUAGGAAACCCACCCUAUUUGAGAAGGAGCCCAACUUUGGAUCUUACAAGAAAGGAGUGACAUCAGGAAGCAGAAGCUGGGGAACUGUGGUGUUGCAAGCUAUAAUCCCUGCAGCAAAGGACAGACUAUCUUCCUCCUGCAAACAACAUUCAGCAUCUGGAGGGUCUGGGCCCUUUCCUUCCUCCGUGCUCUUGCCUGAUGAGAAACUCCUCUGCCUGGAAUGGCUUUUCUCCCCUCACCCUUUAGGACCCAGCUAAAAUGUCACCUCCUUGGAAGCCUCUUGUUUCACUGCCUCACCACCCAAAAUUUUGCUAUUGUUUACAGUGCAGCUUUGAAGAUUCUUGUUCAUGCACAAGACUCUCUCUUGGAUAUUACACCUCAAGUGUAACAGGAGAUGAGCAGAGAUUCUUGUGACCUGAUACAAGCGAACAGAGCAGAUUCUCUGACACACAGAUCUUCUGGACCCUUGGUAAUCACUGGAUGGAGAACAGAGAUGCCUGGGAAAUCUAGUUACAACCCAGCUCUACGGCUAAGAGCUUCUUAUGGUCAGGAACCAGGCCUUCUUGACUAUAAUCCCCAGGGCAGGCACUCAGCACGUGGUCAGAGCUCUACUAAUCUUCGUUGAAUAAAUGAAUGAAUGUUCAAUGACU